rnacentral:rRNA from 1 species
ACGGAAGGCAGCAGUGGGGAAUAUUGCACAAUGGGGGAAACCCUGAUGCAGCGACGCCGCGUGAGUGAAGAAGUUAUUCGUAAUGUAAAGCUCUAUCAGCAGGGAAGAAAAUGACGGUACCUGACUAAGAAGCCCCGGCUAACUACGUGCCAGCAGCCGCGGUAAUACGUAGGGGGCAAGCGUUAUCCGGAUUUACUGGGUGUAAAGGGAGCGUAGACGGUCUGGCAAGUCUGAUGUGAAAGGCAGGGGCUCAACUCCUGGACUGCAUUGGAAACUGUCAGUCUUGAGUGUCGGAGAGGUAAGCGGAAUUCCUAGUGUAGCGGUGAAAUGCGUAGGUAUUAGGAGGAACACCAGUGGCGAAGGCGGCUUACUGGACGAUAACUGACGUUGAGGCUCGAAAGCGUGGGGAGCAAACAGGAUUAGAUACCCUGGUA